rnacentral:snoRNA from 1 species
AAACCAUGUUGUGGGCAUUGUUGUAAAAGUCCCUUGUAUCUUUCCCAUGCUUCAUACUAGUACUCUAAAUCAAGUAAUGUUAUAGUUUCAUUUCUUAAUCU